UUUCCGUAGGUGAACCUGCGGAAGGAUCAUUCAUAAUAAGUGUUUUAUGGCACUUUUUUAAAUCCAUAUCCACCUUGUGUGCAAUGUCAGGGUUGAUUUUCCUCUCAAGAGGAUCAGCCCCAAACAUCAACUAUAUCUCAACUCUUUGUCUGAAAAAUAUUAUGAAUAAAACAAUUCAAAAUACAACUUUCAACAACGGAUCUCUUGGCUCUC
rnacentral:misc_RNA from 1 species